UGAGGAAUAUUGCACAAUGGGCGCAAGCCUGAUGCAGCGACGCCGCGUGUGGGAUGAAGGGGCUACGCCUCGUAAACCACUGUCGCCCGGGACGAAAAACGCCUUAGAGGCGUUAGACGGUACCGGGAAAGUAAGGGUCGGCUAACUACGUGCCAGCAGCCGCGGUAAUACGUAGGACCCAAGCGUUGUCCGGAUUUACUGGGUGUACAGGGUGCGCAGGCGGAUGGGUAAGUCAUGUGUGAAAGGCUGCAGCUUAACUGUAGAAUUGCCUUUGGUUCUGCUCAUCUGGAGUGUGGGAGAGGUCGUUGGAAGUCCAGGGGGAGCAGUGAAAUGCGUAGAUUUCUGGAAAAACACCAGUUGCGAAGGCGGUCAACUGGCCCAUAACUGACGCUGAUGCACGAAAGCGUAGGGAGCAAACA
rnacentral:rRNA from 1 species